rnacentral:rRNA from 1 species
UACGUAGGGGGCAAGCGUUGUCCGGAUUUAUUGGGCGUAAAGAGCGUGUAGGCGGUUUGGUAGGUCCGCUGUGAAAACUCGAGGCUCAACCUCGAGACGCCGGUGGAAACCAUCAGACUAGAGUCCGGAAGAGGAGAGUGGAAUUCCUGGUGUAGCGGUGAAUGCGCAGAGUAUCAGGAAGAACACCCGUGGCUAAGGCGGCUCUCUAGUACGGUACUGACGCUGAGACGCGAAAGCGUGGGGAGCGAACAGG